rnacentral:tRNA from 1 species
GCCUCUGUGGUGGAAUGGUAGACACGAUAGACUCAAAAUCUAUUGUCGCGAGACAUCUCGGUUCGAGUCCGAGCAGAGGUACCA